GGGGCAUUUUGCCUUGGCCCCCAAAAUGUCUUGAAACGGCCCUGGGUGUGUGACUGAGUGUUGAAGGUGAUCUGAAUAGUAUCAAAUUUAUAAAUAUUACAUGUGUGUAACUUAUUGUUAUAUACAGGUAAAAACGUGUAGUGGAGAUAAAUCUAUCUACAUUUUACUUUUCAACACUUUGUUUUGUUUUCUUGUUUUUAUUUAACUAUUUUCCUGUCCUGUCUGUCUCUCAUCUUCCUGCAUCUCCUCUUAAUUCUCCAGAAAAACUGCUGCCUGGAUUCUUACUUUUUCACCUCAUCAGUUACUUCUGAGCAGAUCAAAGGGAUCUCCUGACCACAAAGCGCAGAGCGCGUUUUCGAUGCUGCGUGAGGUGACAUCACCACAGCACAGGGGAUGAGCUCCGCAGUAGCAGAGCGCUGCAGGCACAAAUAAGACAGAAAAUAGAGAACAUGUGCAGACAUGAACGAUCGUGUGCUAAUUAUAGUUUUUUGGUUGCGCCACUUUGAGAAUGGACCGUGCGCCAGAAGCAGCAGCCUGGAUCGCUGCGCAACAACGCGCUGCGCUCUCUGCUCAAAAGAGUCCAAAAAUGAUAUAAUAUAGAAAACUUUUUUCCGGCUCCCCUGAUGUGUAGGAUAUACAGCUCCCCCAUAAUUCGAUCCCUGCUCCUGGAUGAAAAGCCGGACAUUUUCAUCAAUACAAGAACCCCCAGUCCGGACACGCCGGACAGAGAGUGAAAAGUGGACACGUCCGGGGAAAACGGAACGUACGGUCACCAUAGUCCUCAUAAAGCGGGAAAUUAUAGAUACAGUAUUUUGCUCGUGCCCUGGGCCCUUUAGAGUUCGUGGGCCCUGGGCAAUUGCCCAGUUAAUCCGGCCUUGGGCGGAACCGGUUCGCACGCUCACGACUUUAGACUCUUUUUUUACGAGUUUAGGGCAUGUCUAGCCUGUGUAAUAAUCCGGGACUUGGAUGAAUCACUUUUGAAAAGUUUUUAAUUUACCCGGACACAGAGUUCUCUCCUUCCUCGCUGAUGAUCCCGACAUGCUUGCGUUUAAGACGCUGCAUCAUCCCGUGCCAUGCUAAGUCUGACCUAAACGUUGCAGGUAACGAAUGUCUUCGCCUGAUUUAACUGAAAAUGCUCCCAAACUUAAAAAGUUUUUACUUUGACUCUCACUGCUUCUGCCAUGUUCCUCUUCCAAACACUUGCCGGCUCUCCCUUGUGCUGAUCUGCCGGCUCUCCCUCGCGCUGAUCUGUCUGCGCGCAACGGCGGGCGGGAAGGGGGGGCGCUUUUGGAAGAGUUGUGCGACACAACGAAUCGAUGACGCAAUUCGUUGCAAACGCUUUUAGUAAUCGAUUUUCAUCGAAUUUAUCGAUUCGUUGUUGCAGCCCUAGUGUUAAUUAUAUAUUUUUUGGGUGUCACCACUUUGAAAAAGUUACUGGGGCCAUGUGCUGAACGCAGCUUCCUAGAGCGCAUGAAUAAUCAGCGCUCUGCGUCCAGGUCAAAGGAAUCCCCGCUACGCUGAGAGUCCGAAACUGGAACUUUUUUCGGUCGGGGUGCGUAAGUUGAGGUCUUCAGGGGAGCUCAACAGCCUGUCAGGAGAACCAGGUUCCCCUUAGCUCUUCUGUAUUUGGAACCCUGUAUCCGAGUUUGGUUUGAGACGUAACGCCUAAUCCCGAUCCGAGUCUGAAACCACCUUAUCGGGACAGAUUUUCGAUCACAUGAUCAGAUCGGGACAUCCCUAAAAUAUAUCACAACAUAUUUCAUUACAGCAUGUGCUUGAAAAAAUAUCACAAUAUAGAAUGUUGACCAUAUUGCCCAUUCCUAGUAGUAUUAAAAUGUGGAUCUUCCCCCCCCAAGUUUACUGAUGGCACCAGUGCUUGGAAAGCCUCACAUCUGUAAGUGUGCCCUUGGGAAGCUGUGGCUACAGUGUAGCUCAUCACCACCAGGUAAUGAAUGUGUGUGAAUGGAUGAACGAUACACUCUAGUGUAAAGCGCUUUGGAGUCCUCUGACUCAGAAAGGCGCUAUAGAAGUGCGAGUCAUUUAUCAUUUAGUUACAAAACUCAGUCAUCUUUGAGAUAGCAUGAAACUCUAAAAGUGAAGCAGGUUGGACUUUUGGUCCACGACUAUGCUUGUGUAAAGAAGGAGAUGUAGAGUUGGAUGUCAUCUGCAUAAAGAUGGUAGGAGAUUCCUUUGAAGGAGCUCAGGAUGUACUGAAGAGGAAGUAGAUAGAGGAGGAAGAGCAGAGGCCCCAGCACAGAACCUUGUGGGACACCAUGGGUAAGGGUGGUGGUGGAAGACCUAAACUUGGAGACGGCAAUAGAAAAGGAGUGCUCAAAAAGAUAAGAGAACCAAUCCAGAGCAGAUCCUGAUAGGCCUACCCAGUCUCUCAGCCUCUCCAGUAGCAGGUGAUGGUCAACAGUGUCAAAGGCUGCAGUCAGGUCCAGCAGGACCAGAACAGAACAGUCCCCUGCAUCACUGUGAGUCAGAAGGUCAUCAUAGAUGUUAUGUUCAUCAAGAGCAGCUGUGAGUUGUUUAGCCACAACCUUUUCCAAGAUCUUGGAGAUGAACGUAAGUUUAGAGAUGGGUCUGAAGCUGCUAUGGAGAGAGGGGUCGAGACUCUGGUUUUUUAAGAAGCGGGUGGAUUACAGCGUUCUUAAAGUAAGCAGGGACCUGACCAGAAACCAGAGAAGCAUUAAUUAUAGAGAGCACGCUGGGACCGAUGGACU
rnacentral:lncRNA from 1 species